rnacentral:rRNA from 1 species
GACGAACGCUGGCGGCGUGCUUAACACAUGCAAGUCGAACGGAAAGGCCCUGCUUUUGUGGGGUGCUCGAGUGGCGAACGGGUGAGUAACACGUGAGUAACCUGCCCUUGACUUUGGGAUAACUUCAGGAAACUGGGGCUAAUACCGGAUAGGAGCUCCUGCUGCAUGGUGGGGGUUGGAAAGUUUCGGCGGUUGGGGAUGGACUCGCGGCUUAUCAGCUUGUUGGUGGGGUAGUGGCUUACCAAGGCUUUGACGGGUAGCCGGCCUGAGGGGGUGGCCGGCCACCUUGGGACUGAGAUACGGCCCAGACUCCUACGGGAGGCAGCAGUGGGGAAUAUUGCACAAUGGGCGGAAGCCUGAUGCAGCAACGCCGCGUGCGGGAUGACGGCCUUCGGGUUGUAAACCGCUUUCGCCUGUGACGAAGCGUGAGUGACGGUAAUGGGUAAAGAAGCACCGGCUAACUACGUG